rnacentral:rRNA from 1 species
AUACGGAGGGUGCAAGCGUUAAUCGGAAUUACUGGGCGUAAAGCGUACGUAGGCGGUCCGUUAAGUUAGAUGUGAAAGCCCCGGGCUUAACCUGGGAACUGCAUUUAAAACUGGCGGACUAGAGUUGAGUAGAGGGGAGUGGAAUUUCAGGUGUAGCGGUGAAAUGCGUAGAGAUCUGAAGGAACACCAGUGGCGAAGGCGACUCCCUGGACUCGAACUGACGCUGAGGUACGAAAGCGUGGGUAGCAAACGGAAUUAGAAACCCCGGUAGUCC